rnacentral:rRNA from 1 species
GACGAACGCUGGCGGCGUGCCUAAUACAUGCAAGUAGAACGCUGAAGAGAGGAGCUUGCUCUUCUUGGAUGAGUUGCGAACGGGUGAGUAACGCGUAGGUAACCUGCCUUGUAGCGGGGGAUAACUAUUGGAAACGAUAGCUAAUACCGCAUAACAAUGGAUGACACAUGUCAUUUAUUUGAAAGGGGCAAUUGCUCCACUACAAGAUGGACCUGCGUUGUAUUAGCUAGUAGGUGAGGUAAUGGCUCACCUAGGCGACGAUACAUAGCCGACCUGAGAGGGUGAUCGGCCACACUGGGACUGAGACACGGCCCAGACUCCUACGGGAGGCAGCAGUAGGGAAUCUUCGGCAAGGGGGGCAACCCUGACCGAGCAACGCCGCGGGAGUGAAGAAGGGUUUCGGAUCGUAAAGCUCUGUUGUAAGUCAAGAACGGGUGUGAGAGUGGAAAGUUCACACUGUGACGGUAGCUUACCAGAAAGGGACGGCUAACUACGUG